UACGAAGGGUGCUAGCGUUGUUCGGAAUGACUGGGCGUAAAGGGUGCGUAGGCGGCCAGACACGUCUGAUGUGAAAUCCCUGGGCUUAACCUAGGAACUGCAUUGGAUACGGUCUGGCUAGAGUCCGCGAGAGGAAGAUGGAAUUGUGCGUGUAGAGGUGAAAUUCGUAGAUAUGCACAAGAACACCGGUGGCGAAGGCGAUCUUCUGGAGCGGUACUGACGCUAAGGCACGAAAGUGUGGGGAGCAAACAGG
rnacentral:rRNA from 1 species